rnacentral:rRNA from 1 species
UACGUAGGGGGCGAGCGUUGUCCGGAAUCAUUGGGCGUAAAGAGCGUGUAGGCGGCUUGGCAAGUCUGACGUGAAAGCCCGCGGCUCAACCGCGGAUUGUCGUUGGAAACUGCCUCGCUAGAGUCCGGAAGAGGAGAGCGGAAUUCCUGGUGUAGCGGUGGAAUGCGCAGAUAUCAGGAAGAACACCCGUGGCGAAGGCGGCUCUCUGGGACGGUACUGACGCUGAGGCGCGAAAGCGUGGGAGCGAACAGG